UCACAGUCUAGGGGUAUGAUUUUCGCUUCGCAUAAACAAAUGUGCGUAACUUGUGAAAGGUCGUGGGUUCAAUUCCCACAGCGUCCA
rnacentral:tRNA from 1 species